rnacentral:rRNA from 1 species
AGUGAACGCUGGCGGUAGGCCUAACACAUGCAAGUCGAACGGCAGCACAGUAAGAGCUUGCUCUUACGGGUGGCGAGUGGCGGACGGGUGAGGAAUACAUCGGAAUCUACUUUUUCGUGGGGGAUAACGUAGGGAAACUUACGCUAAUACCGCAUACGACCUACGGGUGAAAGCAGGGGAUCUUCGGACCUUGCGCGAUUGAAUGAGCCGAUGUCGGAUUAGCUAGUUGGCGGGGUAAAGGCCCACCAAGGCGACGAUCCGUAGCUGGUCUGAGAGGAUGAUCAGCCACACUGUAACUGAGACACGGUCCAGACUCCUACGGGAGGCAGCAGUGGGGAAUAUUGGACAAUGGGCGCAAGCCUGAUCCAGCCAUACCGUGUGGGUGAAGAAGGCCUUCGGGUUGUAAAGCCCUUUUGUUGGGAAAGAAAAGCAGCAGGUUAAUACCCCGCUGUUCUGACGGUACCCAAAGAAUAAGCACCGGCUAACUUCGUG